UGAGGAAUAUUGCGCAAUGGGGGAAACCCUGACGCAGCCACGCCGCGUGGAGGAUGACACUGCUCUGCAGCGUAAACUCCUUUUGUAAGGGAAGAACAGCGCGGUCGCCGCGCUUGACGGUACCUUACGAAUAAGCACCGGCUAACCCCGUGCCAGCAGCCGCGGUAAUACGGAGGGUGCAAGCGUUGUCCGGAAUCACUGGGUGUAAAGGGUGUGUAGGCGGGACGGUAAGUCGAGGGUGAAAGCCCGCAGCUUAACUGCGGAACUGCCCUUGAUACUGCCGACCUUGAGUCCCCGGGAGAGGUGGGCUGGAAUUCGUGGUGUAGCGGUGAAAUGCGUAGAUAUCACGAGGAACACCAAAGGCGUAGGCAGGUCACUGGGACGGGUACUGACGCUGAGGCACGAAAGUGUGGGGGAGCAAACAGGAUUAGAUACCCUGGUAGUCCACACUGUAAACGAUGGACGCUCGGUGUUGCGGCAUUUUGCUGCAGUGCCUAAGCAAACGCGUAAGCGUCCCACCUGGGGAGUACGCUCGCAAGAGUGAAACUCAAAGGAAUUGAC
rnacentral:rRNA from 1 species